CGCUCGAGCAGUUGUAUGGUGAAGCUCCGUCGCUCCGUCUUGACGCGAUCAGGCCACAGUGGACUCCAUUCCCGGAACACGAGAGCCUGGAAAAUUAGACUUGUUGUCUUGAAACGUCGGCAGUAAUAAAGAUGUUUUUAUGUGCCAGCCUGUUUCCACUGCCCUCUGAUCUUCAUAUAUCGACUGAUUAGCUGUCCACCUGUAUCCUUUAUAUCGGACCCUGAUGUUGGAAGCGUUCCCUUUCCACCAUGUCAGCCUGGAGUACACUCUUCGCCGUCCUAUUUCUAUUACGUAUCCGUCUUCACGGCUGUAUAAUGUCCACGAGUACGUAUGAACGAAAAUAUCGCCUCCCAUUACUACAGGAAUGUGGCCGCCUGGAGAAGACUCGCAAAAGCUCGCUUGGAUAGAUUUUCUCCAAUACUGCCAGUUGAACAACACUAUCCCGAAGUUCAUCCAAUUUAAACUGUAUCGUUCUUCACUUUAUCAUACUCAGCUAUAUACUGAUACCACCAAGAAAUUAUUGGCCAUGGAAAUUGAUGUAAAACUGAAAACUAUAACCAAAUUGUCCACAGUGUAUGAUACCCUAUACCAACCUAUUAAUCGCUCUCUUUCUAUUAUUGAUUUAAUAAUUUUCAAAGAUAUUGUUAAUAAAAAUAUUCACACUUUUGUAUCACUAACACAGAGAGUUCACGAGAAAAAACUAAAAA